rnacentral:lncRNA from 1 species
CUGUAUAUACCUUAUGAUGUUUCCUUCGCGGGUUGUAGAAAAUCUGACUCAGUUCGGUCUGGUGCCUCUUGCUAGGAUGCUUGUGUUGCCUCACAAUGGUUGGCAACAAGGGCUCUGCAUUUUGUGUUUCAAAAUCAAAUCCCUCCCCAACUUGAUGUUGAGGUGAUGACUUGCUAGAUUGUGGAGAUGGCAGCUUAGGUGAUGACUUGCUAGAUUGCGGAGAUGGCAGCUUAGGCGAUGACUUGCUAGAUUGAGGUGAUGGCAAAUUAGAUGGCUUUCUAGACUUGGGUGGUGAUAAACUAGAUGGGGUCUUGGAUGCAGGGGAAGCUACUUCAUUUAUAAUGGCU